AACACACGAGCUGUGAACUCUCCCUUACAAAGCAGCCUCUCUUCCCUGAAAUCAGUGGGUGCUUGACUGAUGGUCUACAUAUAGGCUUUGAACAUUUCUGUAGCUUUAACUUGAAAUGUCAUCUCUGUUUUUGUUUUUAUUUUUUCACUUUUACCCACAACAAUUUCAGAAGUAUUCAGCUUGAGGCGACGAUGGCAGGCAUUGUUUUCGCCACCUGAUGAUUACCCAUAAUCCACGUGACCCCCCCCGAACAUGACCUCUGUCUGCAGUGAACACUGAUAUUCCAAGUUUUGAAGUAUUGAUCAAGGUCCUGUAAAUGUAUCCCAUGGCUUUUCCGGUGCGGCUGCACACUCCGCUGGACAUGAUGAAACUGCUCUCAUCUUUUACCUCAGCCUCAUCUGCAUUCCGUUCCAUAUAAAAGAGAAGAUGGCAAAAUCCUGGAAGUCUUGCUUGAUAUUAAUCUGUAGGUGAUGCAGGUAACCAUGGAAAAAAAACAAAACAAAAAAAAAAAAA